rnacentral:rRNA from 1 species
CCUACGGGAGACAGCAGUGGGGAAUAUUGGGCAAUGGGCGCAAGCCUGACCCAGCAACGCCGCGUGAAGGAAGACGGCUUUCGGGGUUUAAACUUCUUUUAAGAGGGAAGAGCAGAAGACUGUAUCUCUUGAAUAAGCCAUGGCUAACUACGUGCCAGCAGCCGCGGUAAUACGUAGGUGGCAAGUGUUGUCCGGAUUUACUGGGUGUAAAGGGCGUGCAGCCGGGAAGACAAGUCAGAUGUGAAAUCCCGGGGCUCAACCGCGGAACUGCAUUUGAAACGGUUGUUCUUGAGUACCGGAGAGGUAAUCGGAAUUCCUGGUGUAGCGGUGAAAUGCGUAGAUAUAAGGAAGAACACCGGUGGCGAAGGCGGAUUACUGGACGGCAACUGACGGUGAGGCACGAAAGCGUGGGGAGCAAACAGGAUUAGAUACCCGGGUAGUC